UGCAGUCGACGAUGAUCUCCAGCUUGCUGGGGGGAUUAGUGGCGAACGGGUGAGUAACACGUGAGUAACCUGCCCUUAACUCUGGGAUAAGCCUGGGAAACUGGGUCUAAUACCGGAUAUGACUCCUCAUCGCAUGGUGGGGGGUGGAAAGCUUUUUGUGGUUUUGGAUGGACUCGCGGCCUAUCAGCUUGUUGGUGAGGUAAUGGCUCACCAAGGCGACGACGGGUAGCCGGCCUGAGAGGGUGACCGGCCACACUGGGACUGAGACACGGCCCAGACUCCUACGGGAGGCAGCAGUGGGGAAUAUUGCACAAUGGGCGCAAGCCUGAUGCAGCGACGCCGCGUGAGGGAUGACGGCCUUCGGGUUGUAAACCUCUUUCAGUAGGGAAGAAGCGAAAGUGACGGUACCUGCAGAAGAAGCGCCGGCUAACUACGUGCCAGCAGCCGCGGUAAUACGUAGGGCGCAAGCGUUAUCCGGAAUUAUUGGGCGUAAAGAGCUCGUAGGCGGUUUGUCGCGUCUGCCGUGAAAGUCCGGGGCUCAACUCCGGAUCUGCGGUGGGUACGGGCAGACUAGAGUGAUGUAGGGGAGACUGGAAUUCCUGGUGUAGCGGUGAAAUGCGCAGAUAUCAGGAGGAACACCGAUGGCGAAGGCAGGUCUCUGGGCAUUAACUGACGCUGAGGAGCGAAAGCAUGGGGAGCGAACAGGAUUAGAUACCCUGGUAGUCCAUGCCGUAAACGUUGGGCACUAGGUGUGGGGGACAUUCCACGUUUUCCGCGCCGUAGCUAACGCAUUAAGUGCCCCGCCUGGGGGAGUACGGCCGCAAGGCUAAAACUCAAAAGGAAUUGACGGGGGGCCCGCACAAAGCNGGCGGAGCAUGCGGGAUUAAUUCCGAUGCAAC
rnacentral:rRNA from 1 species